CCUCGUGUAUGUUCAUACCUGACGUCCUUGAAGUGGUCGGGCCUAAACUGGGAAUUAAAACACAGUUGAAUGAGUAAAGAUCUGACGGGCGCUGUGAGCAUUUGAAGGCAGAUGCUGCUCUAUUCCCUUGGAUGUUGAUGGAUUCUGGAUAUUGCAAAUUAGCUUGUUAAUUAGAAAAUCUAAUGGAGAAAAGCUGGACUGAUGGCGACCCAGCACACCCGCCAGAAUAAACCUGGAGCUUUGCCCAACAUGGCCUGAACAUCACUGCUGAAUCUGUUGAUGCCUGAACGCAGCAAAGGCAACAUGAGACAAAGUCACAAAAAAACCAGGAAACAGCAAUGGCCUCAAGGAAACCCACAGCAAUGAUAGAGCUUCCGACUCCAAACUCCUCCAGCAGCUUCACCACAUAGGCGCCACCCUGUCGACAACACAAUCAAUCACCACUCCUUUCGCAGAUCUCCGUUUUUUAAUUUACAACACAUCUCUAGAGCCACCCAAACCGUCAGCUAAAUGUGCUUAAAGAUAAGAUGGUUUGAAUUUCAUUCUCUCUGUUUGACUAAUUUAAAUGGUGAAAGAAAAACUUACAUUUGUAAGGGUGCUUAGAGAGCCCAAAAAACAGACAACUACCAAGCCCAGAACAAAAAGUUCACGUCUGUGAGAUAAUUGAUCAGGGUAUUCAUCCAACACAGCAGUGAUGAUCGCCUCCAGCCCACCAAACUGCAACACACACACACACAGAUAAUUAUAACCAUUAGAAAAUUCAGAGGAAACAAGUUGAAUUAUUGUGCAUGUACAUAUACUACAGUAUAUACAUAAUUAAAACUCCCAUUAAAUUGAUUUGAAUACUUUAUGUCAGGGAACAACAGACUUAGAAGCAUUUAAUAAAAUGUAAUGUAAUUUGAUAUGUGAAUUAGUAAACUGACUAUUGAAGCAUCAAAAUGAAAUGCUAUUCAUUGACAUGAAGCAUGUCGUUGCAUAAUUUUCUGUAAGUGACCCCGUGGCCGUCAUGUACUCAUUUGACAGUACGUACAGUGCUGUCGAGUCCCAGCGUGAUCAUCAUCACAAAAAAGAUGAUCGCAAAAAAGGUUGAGCCCAUCAUGUUCGCGAUGGCCUCUGGGUACGUGAUGAAGAGUAAACUUGGACCUGGAAAGCAUGAGAUCAGGCUACAUCCUCAACCUCCACCUUCCUCAUCUCUGCCAUGUAGCCCAGCACAGUGAAGAUCACAAACCCUGACACAAAGCUGGUCAGACAAUUCACCAAACUUGUCACGAUGGCAUCACUGUUGAGGAAGAAAUAAACCCUGUUAGAGAACCUGCAGCAUACUAUUGCUUGUACUCCCCAUGUUAAGUUUUUCAAUCCUACCAGAGAUACUGUGAUAUUCCAGUGUAUUCCUAUCUGCGUUGAAAGCCAGUCGGCACUGACCUUUCUGACCUAUGGUUCCUUUAUGUGCUCUCUUCAGCUUUGUUAUCUUUGUGAGACAUGAAGAUAGUCCUGGCUAGCAACCAUAGACAUCCUGCAACAAUACUAAUGAGGGAUACUCAACUGAAGGAUGUAUGAUGUGUGAUCACUAGGGAUAUAAUACUAUCUCGCUGAGCAUCUAUGAAAUGUAAACAGUCUUGGAGUGAGUGUCUAUCGCCAGGAAGGCUCCACAGAAUGAGUCAUUUUAUCGCUGAUUUUAACAAAAGCAACUGUAACGGUGAACCGUUUCUCUGGAGGAACCUGAAAUUAGGACUACACUAAUUUGUAAAGUAUGUUGCAAAUGAAAUGUACUUUUCUAAUGCUUCUCUAAUGUAAUAAACCUACGACCCGGCUACAAACAUU